CCAAUACAAGCGAGGCACACAUGUAUAAAAGACAGUUGCUUAUUUAGUUAGCAUUGGUCCGUAAUCCAAUCAUGUCCUAUUAUUAUCUAACAUCUACAAUUCCUCCCCAUAUCAGCGGCUAAUCAACUCUCCCACUCCAGUAUAUGUGCACAACUAGACAUGUUUAACCAUGGGUCUACCCGGCCGCAAUGUGUAUACGUCGUGCUAAUGUUCUACUCCCUCCAUCCCAAAUUAUAAGUCAUUUCAAGAAUCUUGGAGAGUCAAAGCAUUUUUACGUUUGACCAAAAUUAUAGAGAAAAAUACUAAGAUUUGUAACGUAAAGUGAAUAUACUAUGAAAAUAUAAUUAAGAAAGAAUCUAAUGAUACUUAGUUAGUACCAUAAUAAUUAUUAUUUUAUAAUAUAAAUUUGGUCAAACUUAGAAAAGUUUGACUCUCCAAGAUUCUUGGAAUGACUUACAAUUUGGGAUGGAGGGAGUAGAUGCGUUGGUAAGGAAUGCAAGCCAAAGUAUAGUGGCAACAGCUACAUGAGCUGCAACAUCCUCAGGCGCUGCUCGUGCUUUGGGUCCAUCUUGGGUGGCAUCGAGUAACCCCUUUAAGGUCCUUCACCACGUACACCU
rnacentral:lncRNA from 1 species